AUGCCUGUAGUUGAAGAAUUGUUGGAUGAGUUAUCUUGUGCUGUUUGGUUUACUAAGCUGGAUCUGAGAGCUGGUUACAAUCAGAUAAGAUUACAUGAAGCAGACGAAUACAAAACAGCAUUCAAGACCCACGUCACUAUGAAUUUUAGGCUAUUUGGGCUCACAAAUGCACCACCCACCCUCCAGAGUGCUAUGAACACAAUUCUGGCUGAGCUGACUAGGGUUUGUGUACUUGUUUUUGUUGAUGACAUCUUAAUCUACAGCAAAUCCUUGCAAGAUCAUGUCACCCAUUUGCAGCAAGUAUUUGACCUUCUGAAGCAGAAUCAACUAUAUGUGAAGUUGAAUAAAUAUUCAUUUGCUCAACCACAGAUAGAAUACCUGGGUCAUGUCAUUAGUGGGCAAGGGGUGGCUACAGACUAA
rnacentral:rRNA from 1 species